UGUAUAGCUGCUUCAAGAUGAAGCUGAACAUCUCCUUCCCAGCCACUGGCUGCCAGAAACUCAUUGAAGUGGACGACGAACGCAAACUUGGUACUUUUUAUGAGAAGCAUAUGGCAACAGAAGUUGCUGCUGAUGCUCUGGGUGAAGAAUGGAAGGGUUAAGUGGUCCGAAUCAGUGGUAGGAACCACAAACAAGGUUUCCCCAUGAAGCAGGGUGUCUUGACUCAUGGCCGUGUCCACCUGCUACUGAGUAAGGGGCAUUCCUGUUACAGACCAAGGAGAACUGGAGAAAGAAAGAGAAAAUCAGUUCGUGGUUGCAUCGUGGAUGCCAAUCUGAGCAUUCUCAACUUGGUUAUUGUAAAAAAAGAAGAGAAGGAUAUUCCUGGGCUGACUGAUACCACCGUGACUUGUCGCCUGGGGCCCAAAAGAGCUAGCAGAAUCCGCAAACUUUUCAGUCUCUCUAAAGAAGAUGAUGUCCGCCAGUAUGUUGUAAGAAAGCCCUUAAACAAAGAAGGUAGGAAACCCAGGACUAAAGCACCCAAGACUCAGCGUCUUGUUGCUCCACGUGUCCUGCAGCACAAACGGCGGCGUAUUGCUCUGAAGAAGCAGCCUACUAAGAAAAACAAGGAAGAGGCCGCAGAAUAUGCCAAACUUUUGGCCAAGAGAAUGAAGGAGGCUAAAGAGAAGCGCCAGGAACAAAUUGCGAAGAGACGUUCUGUCCGCUUGUCAUCCCCACCUGCAGCCAAAAGCGAGCCCUUGUCCCUCGCAAAACCUGAACGCAAUGACCCAGAGGACAAGGAGCUGCCUGGGCAUCAGCCUGUAUCCUCCUCUGACACUGAGACAUCCAGCAGUGACAACGAGGCAGUGACUCGUGUUGCUCAUGGGCUACCCGCUGCUCCUGCAGGGAAUCCCAGUGGCCACCUGGAGGUGCUGGACGGGAUGACCCCAGCUCCAGCUGCCUUGGCUGUGGAGAUUCAGAGUUCAGAUUGGAACAUAUCUUUUUUUCUCACUCAGAUAUGCAAAAGUGGGCCCUGA